GCCCCAGUGGCCUAAUGGAUAAGGCACUGACCUCCUAAGCUAGGAGUUGUUGGUUCAAGUCCCAUCUGGGGUG
rnacentral:tRNA from 1 species